CCUGUACUUUCUUGAGAGUGAUGUAGUGACGGGGAAGGAUAGUUUUACCACUCAUUGGAUUGUGGGGUAAGUGAUAACUGGGUGUUGUUGGCAAAUCCGCAACACAUUAACCGGGAGUUACAAUGCAUAGUGAAAGGGCAACCAAGUAGCGAAUUAAAUGAUUUCAUGCCUCUUAAAAAAGCUGCUAACUAUAAUCUCUGUGAAACCCGUACCGAGAACGAACACACGUCCCCAAGAUGAGUAUUCUAAGGCGAGCGAGAAAACCAAUGUCAAGGAACUCUGCAAAUUCAUCCCGUAAGUUCGCAAGAAGGGAUGCCCAUAGUAACAUAUGGGCCGCAGUGAAUAGUAAGGGGGAACUGUUUAUCAAAAACACAGCUCUAUGCUAAGUCGCAAGACGAUGUAUAUGGGGUGACUCCUGCCCAGUGCCCGAAGGUUAAGCAGAGGUGUUAG
rnacentral:rRNA from 2 species